rnacentral:lncRNA from 1 species
UUGCUACCUGCUCCUUGGAUAGCACGAACAAAACACAUACUUCACCACUAUUGAUCUUCUCUUUUAGAAAAUGCUUGUCAAUCUCCACUUGCUUGGUGAGAACAUAAUGGACCAAAUUAUAGGUAAUACUAAUUGCGGCCUUAUUAUCACAAAUAAUCUUUAUAAGCUUCAUACACGGAAACUUCAAUUCUUCUAGUAGUCUCCUUAUCCAAAUUAUUUCACACACUUCAGGGACUAAUGCUCGAAGUUCUGCCUUCGCAACUUCAGGCUACUUCAUUAUUUUUCCUUUAACUAAAUUUUCCCAAACAAUUGUACCAUAACCAGAAGUGGAUUUUCUAUCAUUCAAUUGAGCCUGCCCCAAUCUGCAUCUAUAUAAACUUCCACACCUCUUUCUACAUUCUUCCCAAAAAAAAACAAUACUUUCCUAGUCCUAUAAACUGCAUCUAAAUGCCCUUGAAAUGGAUAGUGCAUAUAUUAACUGACCAUGCUUACUGCAAAAGCAAUAUCAAGUUAAGUAUGUGACAAAUAAAUCAAUCUUCCAACUAUUCUCUCAUAUCUCUCCCCGUAUAUUGGAUUUCUUGCCUCUUUACCCAAUUUUCCAUUAGGCUCAACCGGAGUUUCACAAGGUUUACAGCCAAGCAUACUUGUUUAUUUCAAUGAAUCCAUCAUAUACUUUUCUUUGAGAUAUGAAGAUACUGAUAGGCUCCAAUCCACCUCACACAUUCUAGAAGGACCAAGAAGAAGAAUAACCUGCAAAUGGGUGGAAAGCUAGACUGUUAGAGUAUAAAAAGUGGGAGAGAAAAACAGUUACAAAUAGCUCUCAAAUAAAGAAGGGGAGGGGAAAGGAUUUGGCAUGCAAAAUAGUGAAUUAAAACUAUAUCGUGGAGAGUACAACCCUUUCGAAAUGCUGAUUGUAUUUCCUUUAUUUCUGUAAUUCAUCUUGUCAUCAAUACGGUUCUAUAGUGGAGUCCUUAUAAGAGAGAACUGACCGCCUACAAUUUGAGUUAGGUGCAAUGAAAAUUGAAUUUCUGAGAGCAAUGUCUAGAAUGAUAGAGAGGUUCGAUUUGAUGAUGAGAAAAAUGGAUUAGCAAGAAAGAGAGUGGAAUGAAAAAGAAAUAGCAGAGAACUCACCUGAGCUGGCGAUUUCUGAAGCCCCUUUGCCGGUGAAUUUGACUGGAAACAUUGAGACACAGAAAAUCCCACCCAAAACUAACGAAGUGGGAUAAAGUGCAGUUAGUCGAAGCUGCUGUGAGGAAACCAUUGUAAGAAGAAAUCGGAAACUAACUGAAAUCUUACCAUCACCAUUGCCAAAGUAGAAGAGAUCGGAGAUGGAAAGGAUCUUUGCAAUUCGGCUAAAUCUGGAGAAGAGGAACGAAUGGAAAUUAUUGAAUUGGAUGGAUUUGGACUUUGGCAGGGAGGUGGACCAGUAGGUAGAAGAUCGAAAUGAGUAUUUAAAACAAGCCCAAUUAAGUUUUGGCCCGUCCAUAAUCAAAACUAACUCCAGCAGCCCACAUAUUAGCUACAACCCACGUGUUUUCCCUUAUCAAAACUACUCCACCAGCGUAGUUCCAUUCGCGGGGCAUUCCAAAACCCGUGACUCAAUCCCAGUGACCACCACACUACGACCUGCUAACACGAUGAAGGUGGCGUCGUUGUUUAAGAGGUUGACGGUUGUCGAGCUUCAUACAAAAAGGGAGAAGGGGCUGCAUCUCGACAAGAAGAUUGUGGUAGAGACAUCGUGCAAGGUUUUGGCGAUGGAUGCGUUCAAUGACAAAGAAGCAUCUGUUGGAGCCUUCUGGUGGUUUCUUUGCACCACUUUGGGCCGACCGUAUCCAACUCAAUGUAAAGAAGGUUUCGCGUCUGGAAGGGCUCAUCAAGAUAGCAUAUCUCACUGGAAAUCUGGCGGCUAUCUGCACUCCAUCUGAUUACAAUAAGUUAGAAGACCUAGUGGGAUUAAAUUCAUUAAUGGGCUAAAAUUAGACACUUGGGCUGAAGUUGUUCUAUUAUGUCCCAAUGGGUUAGGCUCUAUUGUCAAAAUGACAUAACUAAUUGAAGACAAAAAUUAAGUGGGUAUGACAGCCCAAAAUCCAGGUGGACCCAAAUAUACCAUGCUAGCUACACCUUUAAAUGUGUGUGCUUCAAAUGGGAUAGAAAUCUUUCCUACCAAAAUCUUGACGAUGG